rnacentral:rRNA from 1 species
UACGUAGGUGGCAAGCGUUUGUCCGGAAUUAUUGGGCGUAAAGCGCGCGCAGGCGGUCUCUUAAGUCUGAUGUGAAAGCCCCCCGGCUCAACCGGGGAGGGCCAUUGGAAACUGGGAGGCUUGAGUAUAGGAGAGAAGAGUGGAAUUCCACGUGUAGCGGUGAAAUGCGUAGAGAUGUGGAGGAACACCAGUGGCGAAGGCGACUCUUUGGCCUAUAACUGACGCUGAGGCGCGAAAAGCGUGGGGAGCAAACAGGG